rnacentral:rRNA from 1 species
AUUGAACGCUGGCGGCAGGCCUAACACAUGCAAGUCGAACGAGUGGCGGACGGGUGCGUAAUGUCUGGGAAACUGCCUGAUGGAGGGGGAUAACUACUGGAAACGGUAGAUAAUACCGCAUACCAUCGGAUGUGCCCAGAUGGGAAUAGCUAGUAGGUGGGGUAAUGGCUCACCUCGGCGACGAUCCCUAGCUGGUCUGAGGGGAUGACCCGCCAAACUGGGACUGCGACACGGUCGAGAAUCCUACGAGAGGCAGCAGUGGGGAAUAUUGCACAAUGGGCGCAAGCCUUAUGCAGCCAUGCCGCUUGUAUGAAGAAGGCCUUCGGGUUGUAAAGUACUUUCAGCGGGGAGGCGUUACCCGCAGAAGAAGCACCGGCUAACUCCGUGCCAGCAGCCGCAGUAAUAC